GUGAGGUAAUGGCUCACCAAGGCUUCGACGGGUAGCUGGUCUGAGAGGACGAUCAGCCACACUGGGACUGAGACACGGCCCAGACUCCUACGGGAGGCAGCAGUGGGGAAUCUUGCGCAAUGGGCGAAAGCCUGACGCAGCGACGCCGCGUGGGGGAUGAAGGCCUUAGGGUCGUAAACCCCUUUCAGCAGGGACGAAAAUGACGGUACCUGCAGAAGAAGCCCCGGCCAACUACGUGCCAGCAGCCGCGGUAAGACGUAGGGGGCGAGCGUUGUCCGGAAUUAUUGGGCGUAAAGGGCUCGUAGGUGGUUCGGUAAGUCAGAUGUGAAAACUCAGGGCUCAACCCUGAGACGCCAUCUGAUACUGCUGUGACUUGAGUUCGGUAGAGGAGUGUGGAAUUCCUGGUGUAGCGGUGAAACGCGCAGAUAUCAGGAGGAACACCUACGGCGAAGGCAGCACUCUGGGCCGAAACUGACGCUGAGGAGCGAAAGCGUGGGUAGCAAACAGGAUUAGAUACCCUGGUAGUCCACGCCGUAAACGGUGGGCACUAGGUGUGGGGCCUUAUCAACGGGUUCCGUGCCGAAGCUAACGCAUUAAGUG
rnacentral:rRNA from 1 species